rnacentral:rRNA from 1 species
ACGAACGCUGGCGGCAUGCCUAACACAUGCAAGUCGAACGAGACCUUCGGGUCUAGCGGCGCACGGGUGCGUAACGCGUGGGAACCUGCCCUUAGGUUCGGAAUAACUCCCCGAAAGGGGUGCUAAUACCGGAUAAUGUCUUCGGACCAAAGAUUUAUCGCCUUUGGAUGGGCCCGCGUUGGAUUAGCUAGUUGGUAGGGUAAAAGCCUACCAAGGCGACGAUCCAUAGCUGGUCUGGGAGGAUGAUCCGCCACACUGGGACUGAGGCACGGCCCAGACUCCUACGGGAGGCAGCAGUGGGGAAUAUAGGACAGUGGGCGAAAGCAUGAUCCAGCAAUGCCGCGUGAGUGAUGAAGGCCUUAGGGUUGUAAAGCUCUUUUACCCGGGACGAUAAUGACAGUACCGGGAGAAUAAGCUCCGGCUAACUCCGUG